ensembl:lncRNA
CCAUUUUGAAGACGGUGUUUUCUCCCCCUUGGGUACGUUUUCCAAGAGCUCUCCCAUCAGAAAAAUCCCUUGUGAAGAGGACGUGGGUGUCCCAUCUCAUUAAAGUGACAAGAGCUUGUGUUGGGUUUUCUUCUCACUGGGACCCAGGCCAGGUGCAUGACUUGACCUUAGAGAGAGCCAAGCUUUUGGAACAGGCCUGUAUGAGAAAUGGCAGAUGCCAAGGUCUGAAGUCCCUCCUCCUUCUCGAACACCCUCUAGAACCAUAGAAUCUCAGAACUGGAAGGUGCCCUUCAGGCCCCUGGCUACAUAGACAAAGGCUCUGAGCGCUGGAGGGGAAGCAAGUGUACCAGUUAUUGGUACAGCCAGGACCAAACCUGGGUGUCCUGGGAGUCUUAGUUCAGGGUUCCCACCACCACCAGCCUCCAGCUGCCUCCAAUAACCAUCAAACAGCAGCCAAGGUACCAUCCACUUCGCAGUCACUGCUGGACCAGAGCUUGCCUCUUGGGAUGCUCCAGAGCUGGAAGGAGACCUUGGAGCUCAUGCGGCUUCCUGCAUGGGUUUCCAUAGAGAAUGUGACACACGACUGUGAAGACCAUUUUGUUUUCUAGAGCUCUGUUUCCUCUUACUCCAUCCCCAUUCAGUCUGUGAAAAUUGCCCAAUGGAAACCCCACAUUCUGCUCUUAUCAGUGGCCGUUGUAAGUGUGGCUGUCACAAAAUAUGGCUGUCGUAAGGGCAGGAGAACUCCAGGUGAGGUGACAAGAAUCAAGCACAGGUGCUUGGGUUUCGAACUCUCAGAAAGAGUCUUCGCCCUGGGCACAUUUCAGAGAGCAGAUGCCUCACUUGUGAACAUCUUGCACAUCGAAACUGCUGACAAAAAUGUUUUUUGCUUCUGCACUUUUUGUUAUAAGCAUAUAGUGAACCACCUAUAUUUAGCAUAAAUGGGCGUUUGUGAGUGGUCUUGGGAAUCUAAAUAUAAUGUAUUUCGUUUCUAAAUUACAAACAACCAACUUACAAGGGGAAUUUUGGUCUUUAGCCUAUUUAUGAAAUCAGGCACUUUCUGAACUAAAAAAGAGGAGGAAAGGAAUGAGCAUUUAUUGAAUGUUCAUUAUAUACUACCCACUUUACAGAAGGAUUCCAUCUAAUCCAGUAGCCCAAGGAGAAAGGCCUCUCCCUCAUUUCACAGUUGGCUGGCAUCCUCCCCACACUGAGCAUCCUGGGGCCAGACUGAAAGUGGGCCAUCUCCCUCCCAAGCACUCCCCUAGCAAGGAGGAAUCCUGCGGCCGGGACGCCCAGCACAGUGCAACGCUGAAUGUCAGCUGUAUGUGUUUAGCGAGGCUGCUAAGACACUCAACACGAAGGGGACCACCUCGGGCCAGUGACCAAGAGUCUGUCCUUGACCAAACUCUAGCCAGGCUCCUCUGAGCCCUCUUCUCAACUAGUGCUCAACCUUGUCCCAUAAAGACUUAAACAAAACACUAACAUAGUUUUUAACAGCUCAAGACCGUAUCCCUAGGAUGACCCUAAACCCCACUUAAGGUAUUGCCUGAGAAAACUCAAGGCUGCCGAAAGAACUGACUGUUCCAGCAACACUUGAAGACAGGGCCCCUGUCUCCCUGCCAGUGUGGGAGGGUAGGAGCCUAAGUGCCAGCUAGCAAACCCAGAUGGGUUUCCCAUGGACCAACCCCUGCCCCCAUAGUUUGUAAUUUUUCACUUCCCUGACUGUACGGAGCCCCUGGUCACCCCCCUCCCCAUUCCUUCUUUCUUCCUUUAAAACACUCAGGUGCUUCUGUGCAAAUCAAAGUUGAGUUCAGUUCACACUGGGCUCUUUUCCCUAUUACAAUGGUAUGUUACUGAUUAAAAU